AUGCUUUGGUGAACCCUCAAUCAAAAUGGAACAUUCAAAUCUCUCAAGGAAUCUUCCUUUUUAAUUGGAGCACCUCAGCCAUUCAUUGAAUAUGGGCCAAUUGAUCCCCAGAUGGACUGUCCCCUGGUAUGCUGGCCAACCUUCUCAUGGAAAACAAUUACAAACACAGGAUACAAUUCUUUAAAACUUAUCAUAAAUGCAUA
rnacentral:lncRNA from 1 species